AUUGAACGCUGGCGGCAUGCCUUACACAUGCAAGUCGAACGGCAGCGCGGGGCAACCUGGCGGCGAGUGGCGAACGGGUGAGUAAUAUAUCGGAACGUACCCUGGAGUGGGGGAUAACGUAGCGAAAGUUACGCUAAUACCGCAUACGAUCUAUGGAUGAAAGCAGGGGACCGCAAGGCCUUGUGCUCCUGGAGCGGCCGAUAUCUGAUUAGCUAGUUGGUGGGGUAAAGGCCUACCAAGGCAUCGAUCAGUAGCUGGUCUGAGAGGACGACCAGCCACACUGGAACUGAGACACGGUCCAGACUCCUACGGGAGGCAGCAGUGGGGAAUUUUGGACAAUGGGCGCAAGCCUGAUCCAGCAAUGCCGCGUGAGUGAAGAAGGCCUUCGGGUUGUAAAGCUCUUUUGUCAGGGAAGAAACGGUGGGGGCUAAUAUCCUUCACUAAUGACGGUACCUGAAGAAUAAGCACCGGCUAACUACGUGCCAGCCGCCGCGGUAAAAC
rnacentral:rRNA from 1 species